rnacentral:tmRNA from 1 species
GGGGGCGAAUGGUCUCGACGGGGGUUAUGAGACUCAUGUGGCAUGUCGUGGCUCCAUCCCCACGUAAAAAGAUGGAACAAA